rnacentral:rRNA from 1 species
UAAACGUUUGACAACCGUUAGCGGUGGAUCACUCGGUUCGUGUAUCGAUGAAGAACGCGGCCAACUGCGAUAAGUGGUGCGAUUCGCAGCGCCUAGUGAGUCAUUGAAAUUUUGAAUGCAAAUGGCAUGUUGGGUCUAACCCCAGCAUAUGUCUGGUUGAGUGUCUUUUCUACGACCACACAAU